AGCUAAUUAGUUUAAAUAAAAAAUUUAAAUUUUGUAAAUUUAAGAUAAAAUAUUUUAUUAGCUU
rnacentral:tRNA from 1 species